rnacentral:rRNA from 1 species
CGUACANGUUUCCGUAGGUGACCUGCGGAANGAUCAUUAAAUUCAGUAGCUUGCUACUGUUAGGGGGGUCCAUUAGUCUGUAUAGUAUCACUACUGAUGAGCAGCACGACCCUCUGUCUAUACCCUUGUCUUUUGCGCACUCAUGUUUCCUCGGCGGGUUCAUACCCGCCGGCUGGAUCAAUCUAUAACCUUUUUCAUUUUCAAUCAGCGUCUGAAAAAACCUAAUAAUUACAACUUUCAACAACGGAUCUCUUGGUUCUGGCAUCGAUGAAGAACGCAGCGAAAUGCGAUAAGUAGUGUGAAUUGCAGAAUUCAGUGAAUCAUCGAAUCUUUGAACGCACAUUGCGCCCCUUGGUAUUCCAUGGGGCAUGCCUGUUCGAGCGUCAUUUGUACCCUCAAGCUCUGCUUGGUGUUGGGUGUUUGUCCACUAUCGUGGACUCGCCUUAAAGUCAUUGGCAGCCAGUGUUUUGGUAUUGGAGCGCAGCACAUUUUGCGCCUCUAGCCUAGAACACUAGCGUCCAGUAAGUCUUUUUCCACUUUUGACCUCGGAUCAGGUANGGAUACCCGCUGAACUUAAGCAUAUCA